GAUGAAGAACGCAGCGAAAUGCGAUAAGUAAUGUGAAUUGCAGAAUUCAGUGAAUCAUCGAAUCUUUGAACGCAUCUUGCGCUCCUUGGUAUUCCGAGGAGCAUGCCUGUUUGAGUGUCAUUUAACUUCUCAACCACAUUGGAUAUUUUUUUUCCGAUGCCGGCUUGGAUGUGGGGGUUGUUUGCAGGCUUUUUGUAACAAAAAAGGUCGGCUCCCCUGAAAUGUAUUAGUGGUAUCUGAGGCUAUUACUAGUAGGUGUGAUAAUUAUCUAUGCCUUUUGGGUAUGCCGCAUGAACAGAUUAUGCUGCUUCUAACGAAAACUAUUUUGAUGAAUUUGACCUCAAAUCAGGUAGGACUACCCGCUGAACUUAAGCAUAUCAAUAAGCGGAGGA
rnacentral:misc_RNA from 1 species